CAACAAUGGGUCACACCAAGGAGCAGAAACCUAUCUCUGCUCAGGUAUCGGAGCACAGAGCGCUGCGUCUGCCCAGGCCUUCCUUCCGGAAGGGACCACUGAGAUUUGAAAUAAACAAAGUGCGGACGUGGGGGGAGCCCCGAAGGCAGCAUCAGAGAGAUUCAAACGACCACUGUUACAAGGAAGAAAUGAAGAGGUGACCACAUGGCAUAAUGCAAAUAACAAACUGGCACAGUGGCAAGGGCAAAGGUAAGAUUUCAGGACAAGCAAAUCCCUAAGCAGGCAGUAAUCUCUCUUGCAUGAACACAGAAGAGAUGAGCAGGACUACCUCUGGUGAAAACCUUAAAUAUCACAAGACUGUGGGUAGUGGUGUCACACGUGCUAAGGGAAAAUAAGAAGCAGUUCCACACGGAAAUCCUCAAAAGUUUCUGGAUUAACAGUUAUCCCCAUUAAGAGUAAAAGCCACAGGCUAGCUGAAGAAUUCACUCAUGUUCUGUAUAGAGCAAGGCUCCACCUUCAGCACAUCAGUGAAGUGGAUGUGACAAGAGCACCUGGAAUUUAUUCCCAGAUCA